UCAGUCGACUCCUACGGGGAGGCAGCAGUGGGGAAUAUUGCACAAUGGGCGCAAGCCUGAUGCAGCCAUGCCGCGUGUAUGAAGAAGGCCUUCGGGUUGUAAAGUACUUUCAGUCGUGAGGAAGGCGGCGUCGUUAAUAGCGGCGUUGUUUGACGUUAGCGACAGAAGAAGCACCGGCUAACUCCGUGCCAGCAGCCGCGGUAAUACGGAGGGUGCGAGCGUUAAUCGGAAUUACUGGGCGUAAAGCGCAUGCAGGUGGUUUGUUAAGUCAGAUGUGAAAGCCCGGGGCGUCAACCUCGGAAUUGCAUUUGAAACUGGCAGACUAGAGUACUGUAGAGGGGGGUAGGAAUUUCAGGUGUAGCGGUGAAAUGCGUAGAGAUCUGAAGGAAUACCGGUGGCGAAGGCGGCCCCCUGGACAGAUACUGACACUCAGAUGCGAAAGCGUGGGGAGCAAACAGGAUUAGAUACCCUGGUAG
rnacentral:rRNA from 1 species